rnacentral:rRNA from 1 species
AUUGAACGCUGGCGGCAGGCCUAACACAUGCAAGUCGAGCGAGAGGCGGAAGGGUGAGAAAUGUAUCGGGACAGCCCGAUAGAGGGGGAUAACUACAGGAAACGGUGUCUAAUACCCCAUACUGUAUGAUUAUCCCUAUGGGAUUAGCUAGGAGGUAAGGUAAUGGCUUACCUAGGCGACGAUCCCGAGCUGGUCUGAGAGGGUGAUCAGCCACACUGGGACUGAGACACGGCCCAGACGCCUACGGAGGCAGCAGUGGGGAAUAUUGCACAAUGGGCGCAAGCCUGAUGCAGCAAUGCCGCGUGUAUGAAGAAGGCCCUAGGGUUGUAAAGUACUUUCAGUCGGGAGGCGUUACCGACAGAAGAAGCACCGGCUAACUCCGUGCCAGCAGCCGCGGUAAUUC